rnacentral:rRNA from 1 species
GACGAACGCUGGCGGCGUGCUUAACACAUGCAAGUCGAACGGAAAGGCCCCUUUGGGGGUACUCGAGUGGCGAACGGGUGCGUAACACGUGAGUAACCUGCCCUUGACUUCGGGAUAACUUCAGGAAACUGGGGCUAAUACCGGAUAGGAAUCCUUGCUGCAUGGUGGGGGUUGGAAAGCUUCGGCGGUUUUGGAUGGACUCGCGGCGUAUCAGCUUGUUGGUGGGGUAGUGGCUUACCAAGGCUUUGACGGGUAGCCGGCCUGAGAGGGCGACCGGCCACACUGGGACUGAGAGACGGCCCAGACUCCUACGGGUGGCGGCAGUGGGGAAUAUUGCACAAUGGGCGGAAGCCUGAUGCAGCAACGCCGCGUGCGGGAGGACGGCCUUCGGGUUGGAAGCCGAUUUCAGCAGGGGCGAAGCUUGUGGUGACGGUACCUGCAGAAGAAGCACCGGCUAACUACGUG